rnacentral:rRNA from 1 species
AAAAACAUUUCUUUUUUAUAAAAAAGUAUUUCCUGCCCAAUGAUUAUUUAAAUGGCUGCAGUAAUUUGACUGCAAUAAUGUAGCAUAAUUGCUUGUAAUUUUAUUGAUUACUAGUUUGAAUGGGAGAAUGUUAAAAUUAUUUUAUAUUUUUUAUGUUAAAUUUUUAUUGUUGGUUAAAAUACUAACAAAAAUAAAAAAGAAGAGAAGACCCUAUAAAGUUUAUCUUGAUGCUAAAAAAGAUUUUUUUAGGGAAAAAAUUUUUAUUAAAAAUUUUUGGUUUGGAAUAAGGGAAAAAAUUACUUUAGGGAUAACAGGAAAAUAAAAAUUUAAAGUUCAAAUUAAAAUUUUUGUUUUUUACCUCGAUGUUGAAUUAAAAAUUCUUUUUUUUGCAAAAGAAAAAAAAGAAAGUCUGUUCGACUUUUAAAAUUUUACAUGAUUUGA